rnacentral:rRNA from 1 species
CGAUAACGAACGAGACCUUAACCUGCUAAAUAGCCCGUACUGCUUUGGCAGUUCGCUGGCUUCUUAGAGGGACUAUCGGCUCAAGCCGAUGGAAGUUUGAGGCAAUAACAGGUCUGUGAUGCCCUUAGAUGUCCUGGGCCGCACGCGCGUUACACUGACAGAGCCAGCGAGUAUUUCCUUGACCGGAAGGUCCGGGUAAUCUUGUUAAACUCUGUCGUGCUGGGGAUAGAGCAUUGCAAUUAUUGCUCUUCAACGAGGAAUCCCUAGUAAGCGCAAGUCAUCAGCUUGCGUUGAUUACGUCCCUGCCCUUUGUACACACCGCCCGUCGCUACUACCGAUUGAAUGGCU